rnacentral:rRNA from 1 species
GAUGAACGCUAGUUACAGGCUUAACACAUGCAAGUCGAGGGGUAACGAGAGGAAAGCUUGCUUUCCUUGUCGACGACCGGCGCACGGGUGAGUAACGCGUAUCCAACCUGCCCCCAACUAGGGAAUAACCUUGCGAAAGUAAGACUAAUACCCUAUAAUUUCCUCAGAUGACAUCUGACGAGGAAUAAAGAUUUAUCGGUUGUGGAUGGGGAUGCGUCUGAUUAGCUUGUUGGCGGGGUAACGGCCCACCAAGGCAACGAUCAGUAGGGGUUCUGAGAGGAAGGUCCCCCACAUUGGAACUGAGACACGGUCCAAACUCCUACGGGAGGCAGCAGUGAGGAAUAUUGGUCAAUGGGCGGAAGCCUGAACCAGCCAAGUAGCGUGCAGGAUGACGGCCCUAUGGGUUGUAAACUGCUUUUAUACAGGAAUAAGUUAGCCACGUGUGGUUAUUUGUAGGUACUGUAUGAAUAAGGACCGGCUAAUUCCGUGCCAGCCGCCGCCGUAA